rnacentral:rRNA from 1 species
CCUACGGGAGACAGCAGUGGGGAAUAUUGGGCAAUGGGCGCAAGCCUGACCCAGCAACGCCGCGUGAAGGAAGAAGGCUUUCGGGUUGUAAACUUCUUGUAAGAGGGAAGAGCAGAAGACGGUACCUCUUGAAUAAGCCACGGCUAACUACGUGCCAGCAGCCGCGGUCAUACGUAGGUGGCAAGCGUUGUCCGGAUUUACUGGGUGUAAAGGGCGUGCAGCCGGGAAGACAAGUCAGAUGUGAAAUCCCGCGGCUCAACCGCGGAACUGCAUUUGAAACUGUUUUUCUUGAGUACCGGAGAGGUCAUCGGAAUUCCUUGUGUAGCGGUGAAAUGCGUAGAUAUAAGGAAGAACACCAGUGGCGAAGGCGGAUGACUGGACGGCAACUGACGGUGAGGCGCGAAAGCGUGGGGAGCAAACAGGAUUAGAUACCCGUGUAGUC